CAUAAUUUCCUUAGAGGGUGAUUUCCGGUUUCGAGUUGCUGGCUGCUACCAUUUUAGUGUCUCUGCUGCUACUAUAAUAUAUAUCUCUAAGCGACCACAACAAUUGAAAAUCCACUUGUGAUAAUCUUCUACCACAUUGUCGGUAGUUUGCCUCUUGGCCGUUAAACCGCACAGCGUGCGCUGUCCCGGAUUUCAUUUGCUCUGUUCCAAGGAAAUGAAGUGAUGACCAGGAUUCUCUUCUACUGGUUUUUCCAUUCAUAAUUUAGUCAUCAUGAUCUCCAGAUUAGAUAUCUAGAUCUAGAAUCUAGGCACAGUACCGCGCCUAUCGUUUUUAACAAAAGUUUGAGCGUGUUGGAUAUCUUAGAGAUUCAGCUGUCUAACAAGUAACAAGGCCAACACCCCUCACUGAUAAGCAAAUAAUUAUACAGGCCUUAUCGUAUCUGAGCGAGUUUUCCAUUCAGCAAUUUGCACCACACAACUAGAUAUCUACGUGACCCGGUUUCUUUAAUAAACACACGAUACCUUUUUUGUGAGUGGUAUAAAGAGGGGAAUCAUCAGGAUGGGAUGCAUAAAUGGUAAGACAGAGGCUACAAAAACAAGGAAGGACCGCGCAGUCUUCAGGAUGAAGCGGAACGUUUUGUGGAUGUUGUGGUGUCGUAUGAGCUUCCUGAAGGCUCCACCACGUACGAAACGUUCACCUUGAACCCAGCCAUGACGGUGGCGCAAUUCAAGAGAGAUGUGUCUGUACGUCUGCACCUGGAACUGAACCGUAUUCGGAUAGACAGUGGGAAUGGAACGACAGAAUUCCCUAACGGAAGCAGACUAGAAACUUUGGGCAUCAAGAGCGGUUCUGAAGUGAGGGUCAGAUCCAGAUAAUGGCGGCUAGUUUCUGUUGGAACCCGUGUUGGUUGUGUCGGUGGAAGUGUCUAGUGUGGACAAUCACACCCACCGUUUGGCCGCAGUUUGUCUCUUUCUCUUCAACAAAGUCAUGGGAAUAGAGCAGGAUAAGGUAACUUAGGCUUUGUGAGAACAUCUGGGCAGAGAAAUGAGGGACAAACCACGAUUGAUGAUGUCUGAUUGAGGUCUAGUUCUUGAAGAAGAAGAAGAAGAAGAAGAAGAAGAAGGAGAAGGAGCAGGAGAAGGAGAAGAAGAAGAAGAAAAAGUAAAAGAAGAAAAAGUAAAAGAAGAAGAAGAAGAAGA